rnacentral:rRNA from 1 species
AUUGAACGCUGGCGGCAGGCUUAACACAUGCAAGUCGAGCGAGCGGCGGACGGGUGAGUAAUGUCUCGGAACCUGCCUGGUGGAGGGGGAUAACUACUGGAAACGGUAGCUAAUACCGCAUACCAUUCGAUUUGCCCCUGUGGGAUUAGCUAGUCGGUGUGGUAAUGGCUCCCCUAGGCGACGAUCACUCGCUGGUCUGAGAGGAUGACCAGCCACACUGGAACUGAGACACGGCCCAGACUCCUACGGGAGGCAGCAGUGGGGAAUUUUGCACAAUGGGCGCAAGCCUGAUCCAGCCAUGCCGCGUGUAUGAAGAAGGCCUUCGGGUUGUAAAGCACUGUCAGCGAGGAGGCGUUACUCGCAGAAGAAGCACCGGCUAACUACGUGCCAGCAGCCGCGGUAAUAC